rnacentral:rRNA from 1 species
AACGAACGCUGGCGGCAGGCUUAACACAUGCAAGUCGAACGCCCCGCAAGGGGAGUGGCAGACGGGUGAGUAACGCGUGGGAAUCUACCCAGAUCUUCGGAACAACUGAGGGAAACUUCAGCUAAUACCGGAUACGCCCUACGGGGAAAGAUUUAUCGGUUCUGGAUGAGCCCGCGUUGGAUUAGCUAGUUGGUGAGGUAAUGGCUCACCAAGGCGACGAUCCAUAGCUGGUCUGAGAGGAUGAUCAGCCACACUGGGACUGAGACACGGCCCAGACUCCUACGGGAGGCAGCAGUGGGGAAUAUUGGACAAUGGGCGAAAGACCUGAUCCAGCCAUGCCGCGUGAGUGAAGAAGGCCCUCGGGUUGUAAAGCUCUUUUGUCGGAAAGAAAAGACAAUCGGUUAAUACCCGGUUGUUCUGA